AGAGUUUGAUCCUGGCUCAGAAUGAACGCUGGCGGCAGGCCUAACACAUGCAAGUCGAACGGAGUUAUAUUGUAGCUUGCUAUGGUAUAACUUAGUGGCAGACGGGUGAGUAAUGUAUAGGAAUCUACCUAGUAGUACGGAAUAAUUGUUGGAAACGGCAACUAAUACCGUAUACGCCCUACGGGGGAAAAAUUUAUUGCUAUUAGAUGAGCCUAUAUUAGAUUAGUUAGUUGGUGAGGUAAAGGCUUACCAAGACAAUGAUCUAUAGCUGAUCUGAGAGGAUGAUCAGCCACACUGGAACUGAGAUACGGUCCAGACUCCUACGGGAGGCAGCAGUGGGGAAUAUUGGACAAUGGGCGAAAGCCUGAUCCAGCCAUGCCGCAUGAGUGAAGAAGGCCUUCGGGUUGUAAAGCUCUUUUAGUGAGGAAGAUAAUGACGGUACUCACAGAAGAAGUCCUGGCUAACUCCGUGCCAGCAGCCGCGGUAAUACGGAGAGGGCUAGCGUUAUUCGGAAUCAUUGGGCGUAAAGGGCGCGUAGGCGGGUUAGUAAGUUAAAAGUGAAAUCCCAAGGCUCAACCUUGGAACUGCUUUUAAAACUGCUAGUCUAGAGAUUGAAAGAGGAUAGAAGAAUUCCUAGUGUAGAGGUGAAAUUCGUAAAUAUUAGGAGGAACACCAGUGGCGAAGGCGUCUAUCUGGUUCAAAUCUGACGCUGAGGCGCGAAGGCGUGGGGAGCAAACAGGAUUAGAUACCCUGGUAGUCCACGCUGUAAACGAUGAAUGUUAAAUAUGGGAAGUUUACUUUCUGUAUUAUAGCUAACGCGUUAAACAUUCCGCCUGGGGACUACGGUCGCAAGAUUAAAACUCAAAGGAAUUGACGGGGACCCGCACAAGCGGUGGAGCAUGUGGUUUAAUUCGAUGCAACGCGAAAAACCUUACCA
rnacentral:rRNA from 1 species